rnacentral:rRNA from 1 species
UGCCUCUUGACACUCUAUAAGAGGUAACUCCUGCCCAGUGAAAAUUUUCAACGGCCGCGGUAUCCUAACCGUGCAAAGGUAGCAUAAUCACUUGUCUAUUAAUUGUAGACUAGAAUGAAAGGAUAAACGAAAUAAGCACUGUCUCCGCUAGUCUUAUAUAAAUUAUAAUUUAGAUGAAGAUAUCUAAAUAUAAAUGAAGGACAAGAAGACCCUAUAGAGCUUUAUUUAAAAAAAGAAAUUAUUUCUUUUUAAGAUUCGGUUGGGGCGACCAAGGGAAAAUACAUCACCCUUAACACACAGAUCUAUAAAUCUCUUAUAUGACCCUUAUACAAGAGCAUAAAAACAAGCUACCUUAGGGAUAACAGGCUAAUCUUAUUAAAGAGUCCUUAUCUAUAAUAAGGGUUGGCACCUCGAUGUUGGCUUAGGGUAUCACUAUGGCGCAAAAGUCAUAGAAAGAUGGUUUGUUCAACCUCUAACUCCCU